GUGCUUGUUCAUAAAAAGUGAAACACCCAGAAUUCUUCCAGUAAAGUAUCUGUCUUGUUUGAAGCCUGUCUGAGAAGGUGCAUCACCAGGAAUGCUUCACAGGCUUUGUUAUGAUACAAUUGCAUUUUUAACACACCCCUGUGCGUAAAGGUCUCUGCUUCAUUGAGUGUCUGGGCUCCAUACUGGGACAGGUCAACAACAUCCCUGAAGUCCUGAACCAGCCAGUCUCAGAAAAUGGGCCAGCUCCUUACUACUCCCACACAAUGUAAGAGCUUGUUUCCAAAGAGCAGAGAAAAUGGACUAAGAUCCACAGGAGGGAUGACAGAUGGAUUCUGUCGCAUUGCCAGAGACAUGAAAUUGCAGAUGACCCCUAAAAAUCUACAUCCUCUAUAAAUCCAUCUAGAUUGAUCAGAAAGAGAUUAAUGAUUUUUACUGGACCCAAUUUAUCUCAACCUCGAAGUUUAAGCUCUACUCCUCUUAUUCUUCAACCCCCAGCAAAAAAUUUGCAAUUGACUUCUUUCCAACUUGCAGAUGACCAGAAUAUCCUGUGAAUAAUUCUAUUGCCCCUGGAUGCAUCUGUGCAACAUUCUUAUUCUGUUUUAUACAGUAGUCCCCUUAUCCACAGCUUCUCUGUCCAUGGUUUCAGCUACCUGUGGUAGACUGUGAUCUGAAAAUACUAAAUAAAAAUGUUCAGAAAGGAAUAAUUUAUAAGUUUUAAAUUGGGUGCCAUUCUGAUAUUAUUAUAGUUGUUUUGGCUUAUUAUUAUUAUUAUUAAUCUCUCACUGUGCCUGAUUUAUAAACUAAACUUUAUCAUAGGUAUGUAUGUACAGGAAAAACACAGUACAUAUAGGGUUCAAUACUAUCUGUGGUUUCAGGCAUCUACUGGGGGUCUUGGAAUGUAUCCUUCAUAAACAAUGAGAGACCACUGCAAAUCUUUUGUUUUUCUGUAUCACUGUAAAUUUAUUCAGAUUCUAAACCAUUGGAAGAUAUGAAUCCUCAGACAUUAUAGCUACAGCAUCAUGUAA
rnacentral:lncRNA from 1 species